UUUCUUUAUUUUGUAGACUUUAUUUAGCGUGGGAUGUUUUAUACAGCAAGCCAUAUUGCAGAAUAGGACCUUAUUUGAUCGGGAUACUUUUGGCGUAUGUACUAUUCAAGAAUAAGAAUGCGAAGAACAUUUCAGGGAGGUGGAUUGGAAUUGUGGGGUGGACUGCGUCUUCGCUAUGCUGUAUAAGUGUAAUUUACGGAGUAUACCACAUACAGCCAGAACCAUACUUGUUCCAUUUCUACAAUGCAUUGUCCAGAAGUGCCUUCAGUGGAGGAGUAGCAUGGGUCAUUUAUACCUGUCUGUCAGGAAAAGCGG